AGAUGUGAGGGUGGUCUGGCUGUGACAUCUGUCACCCUAUUGAUCUCCAGGGUUGAUUUACUGAUCUGGCUGGCUAGGUGGGUGUCCCCUCCACCCUCACUGAUCCAUGUACGUCCCUCCCAAAGCUGCAUGCUCGGUUGCUCCUUCCCCCAGAGGAGAGGACUGGUCUUCGGUCAAGGGUAUACGAGUAACUGCGCUCCAAACAAGCUCUCAAACACACUGAUGUAUUAUUCCAU
rnacentral:snRNA from 1 species